CUCUAAAUUAAUAUUUAUUUGAGAUGGAAAAAUCAAAGAAUGCUAUAAUAUGCAUGAUUUUUAUCAUGUUUGUUCUUUAUACACCAUCAAUUCAUGCUACUCAAGAGCCAUUAUUUGCACCUCAACCAAUAACAUUUGAAUUAUUUUUUCCAAGUCGUAGCACUGCCAUGAGAAAAACAAAAAAUUGCUCUGCAACAGUGUGCAAAAAAGGCAAAUGUUGUUGUGCUUAUUUUUUUCAUAGAUGUAUAAUGUGUUGUGGAAGGAUGAAUUAAUAUAUUUAUCUCUUCAUGUUUAAAAGAGUUUUCUUGUAUUA